AAAUUUAAAACCAAAUUAAAGGCCUUAUUACAAAAUAAAACCCAACUUAUAAUUUAAAGUAAAAUAAAAACAAGUGUGAACAUCAGCAGUUGUGUGGCCACCUCCGAGUCCCUCGUAGCACCGAAUCGCCUAAGACUGAGGAUUACCUACACAAUUAAGAGGAGAGGGUGAGUUUACGAAACUCAGUGUGUAAUCCCCUAUCAAUCAAACAGUAAACAACAUACAGUAACGGUCUGGGCCUGGGCCCUAUUCAGUGGCAAUACAAUGAAGGCCUUAGCCCAAUUUAGUAGCAGUGUGGGCCUUAGCCCAAUACAAUAUCAGUGUGGGCCUUAGCCCAAUACAGUAACAUUACAGUACAGAAAAUGCAACCCAUCCCAAUCCAGCCAACACACCACUCCGUACCACCAACACACCAUGUGAGGAUAAAAUCGACCUACCCAGCCAACACACCAAUAUUACAGUAAAACUGCCAGUAAUAGAAUCGCAGCAAAGCUGCCAGUAACAGUAUACGUGGCAAAGCCACCAGUAGGUCUGCAGUUGUCCUAGGCAACCCGUGCGACCUUAUUAGUACAAUACACUUCCUCCAAAUAUAACAACCCAACCCCAUGCAAUAUGUCGUGACAUAAUAUCAUACGUGUAUGCAAAAUGUCAUGCUCAAUCAUAGUCAUACAUAUCAUAAGGCCAUAACAGUCAUUUCAUCUCCUAGGGGUAUAAAAAUCAUUUUACCUUAUGGGGGUAUUUCGGUCAUUCUACCCUAUGGGGGUAUUUCGAUCAUUUUAUCCUUCGGGGGUAUUUCUAUUAUUUUACCCUUCGAGGUAUUUCGAUUAUUUUACCCUUCGAGGGUAUUUAGGUCAUUUUACCCUUCAGGGGUAUUUUGAUCAUUUAACCCUUCAAGGGUAUUUCGAUCAUUUUACCCUUUGGGGUAUUUCGGUCAUUUUACCUUUUGAGGGUAUUUCGGUCAUUUUACCCUUCGAGGGUAUUUCAAUCAUUUUAUCCUUUAAGGGUAUUUCAGUCAUUUUAUCCUUCGGGGGUAUUUCGGUCAUUUUAGCCUUUGAGGGUAUUUCGAUCAUUUUACCCUUCGAGGGUAUUUCGGUCAUUUUACCCUUCGAGGGUAUUUCGGUCAUUUUACCCUUCGAGGGUAUUUCAGUCAUUUUACCUUUCGAGGGUAUUUUGGUCAUUUUACCAUUCGAGUGUGUUUCGGUCAUUUUACCCUUUAGGGGUAUUUCGGUCAUUUGCCCAUAACUCUCAAGUUGGGCUUGCCACUUGAGCGAUCACACGCCUGUGUGGUCUCAAACACCGUGUUUAUGGCUUUUCGGCUUUUUACCAAUCUACGGUUGUAGUGGGUGAUUACACACCUGAAUUCGACUGAAGAGCGCAAAUCUCUACGUACACCAACCUAGAUUCAACCAAAACGUCAUUUCAUUAACUACCAAGAUUUGUUAAUCAAACAAAGCCAAACGAUGCUAAGGAAAAAUAGUUAUCGAAGCCCUUUACCGGAAUCAACCGCACCGCGCCCUCAGCUCUUUGGAGAAGCACCAACCAACUCUUGAACUCCACCUAGCACAAAAGCCACAAAACCCUUUACUUCCAACCCUUAGAUCGCAUUUCGCUUAACAAUCCAAUUAAACCCAAUAAUGUAUAUACAUCCUUUCAAACCGCAUCCCAUACAACGAAUAACAAACACUUACUCACCUACCAAACUGUUGACAAGGUAGAGUGCAACUUGAAACACAAGAAGGAGCAAAUCAAAAAGGGGAUCCGAAAACUAAAAAAAGGCAAAGCAGGAAAAAACAAAAAAAGAGAUCAAUGGAUCGAAAAGCGCAAACUGAACUAGACAAAAUCAACAUUCAACCACGAAAACAGAGAAGAACCAACGCCAAUACUCCCUUUUAGAAGAAUCUAUAGUGGAGAAGGGACAAGAAUUCGGCAACACGGAGAAGAGGGAGGAGAAAGGAGAUUCCGCAGAGGGGACUAAAGAACUAUUCGGUCAAAACAAAACAAGAGAAAAAAAAAGAAUAAAAGGGAAAAGCAGGAAAACAAAAGAGCAAACCCGAGAGGUACCCAAAGUCUUUAGCAAAAUUCGACACAAGCAAAAGGUGAAAGAAAAACUGACCAAAGCCGAAGCAAACGGAGAGAAAAACAACCCCAAAACCAAUUCCCUCAAUGCCUAAAGACCAAAUUCGGCACAAGCAUACCCCCAAACGGCACAACUCCCCCUCACUCUCAAACUCCUUGAUUUCCUCCUAAAAUUUCUCCCCUUAUCCCUCAUUGAAUCACUCCACCAAUUUCUCCUGAACUCAAACCAAUUCAAACUCCUUUUAGCAGUAUUCUAGUCCAACUCCACCACCUACCCAGCUCAAGCAGCAAAAUAAAUACUCCAUUGCGUAACCCAGGACUUGAACCUCAGACCUCACGGUCACACAACACGCCACAUUGCCACCAAACCACAUGCUCUUUUUUUAUGUCAUAAAACAAACACUAUUAUUUAUAAUGCCUAUAUGCUAGAGUCCAGAUUCAUUUAAGAGCAAAACUAAAAAUUUUGCAGAAGCCAAGACUUGAACUCAAGCUUCUCAAACACUCUCAUACACACCCAAAUCACUUAGCCAUUAAAGCAAACAAGCAAUUUGUGACACUUCCUUGAACAACUAAAUAUUUAUGUGCAGUCUCCUAACUGUUCCCUUGUUCAAAACCUAUUUCUUCUAGGCCCAAAAUUCGGAAUGUUACACAUGUUAAGCCUCCAUACAUAGGAUGCAUGCAACUAAUCCCAUAAGUUGAAGUAUAAGAAACCUACGAAUAACAUGUGUGUGCUUGUUAUGAGAACAAAUGCACUAAACAUAACCUGUUAUGAAAGUUCUAUUUGGCAUUUUACUCAAGUGUCUAUGGAAAUAGUCUUAUAUUUUGGUAGUGUAAAUAAUCAUUUAGUCUUGUGACAUUGGUUCACAUUGUAUAUUGAGUGUCACAUUUUGAUUCAUCACAAAAUAGCUUUGUAUCAAUGGAUGCUUAAGGUAGGAUGUUUUGGGUAUGGUAUAAGCCAUACAAAGGUGAUGGAGUGGUUCAAAGAGGAUCUAUCACCCUAAGUGAUAUCAGGGGACAUAUCCUAUAUGCUCUUGACUCGUAUUAAUUGCAAGUCCUUGGCCAAGGCAAUUAUUUUGGGUUAGUACAAAGAGUUGGAAGACUGAUAUGGAUAAACAAAGGUAGAUAUUGUGCUAUGCCUUUUAGCUUAUCUAAGAUAUAUAUUGAGAUUUUGUGCCCUUAGUGCAAUGAUUUCGUUAUCAUGCCUGUAAUUUUUUGAAAAAAAAUUGUUAAAUAAAAUCCAAUAGUUAAAUUAUUAUAUUUUGUAUAGCUCUCCUCAAUGAUUUUUGCAUAAAAAGUUUAAAUAGUACUGAGUUGCAUCAUGGAGAUGGAUUAUGACAUGGGAAGACAACUUAUAUUAGUAGGUAAUCUAAAUGGUCAGUAAUUUGAGGAAUCAAAAUGAGCAAUUGAUUCAUGGGACUAUUACAUUGUCUACCAAGUUCAAUUUGGGAGAUACCUUAUUUUGGAUAUUGAAGUGACAAUACAACGGACAUGACCCAAGUUAAAUUUAUCCUAAAUCCAUUUAUGGAUUUAUUUACUUAUGAUGUUCAUAACGUGAGUUAAAUCAAUCUUAGGUAAAUGAUAGAAUAUACGUAUGUAACUUAUAUACUUCGAUACAUUGAAAGCUUGUGCUCCAUUAGUCUUGUAACCAAAAGCUGGUAUGUUGGGUAUGUGACUUAUGUAUGACAUGACUUCACUUAUAAUAGUGGAAUUCAUAGCUCAGUAAAUAGAAAAUGGUACCCUCUAACUAGCAUUGAAUGGAUUAUGAAAUGGAAAACUUGUCACUGGUCAUUCAUUGAGAACAAAUGAUUGUUAUUAUUAUUUCUUAGUAAAUUGAAUCAUAUUGGGUGAAUAGGUAUAGCCCAAAGAGACUAAGGAUAUCCUAUGAGGAUAGCACACUAAUGACAAGGUCAUUGGACAAAAGCAUAAAUCUAAGUUGCUUUUGUAAUGGUAUAUAAUGGGGGAGUUUAGUCAUGGUACUUUUAGUGGACUGACUCCUUGACUAAAUAAUAUUGUAAUUAAUAGAAGAAGACUCAAAACUUAAUUAAAAAUUAUUUAAGUCCUAAUUAUUUAUGUCUGGCCAGUCCCUUUGCUAGCUGAACACAACUCUAUAUGGAUUGCAAAUUAGAAUCGAUAUGAUAAAUAAAUGUAAACAACGAAUGAGAAAUAGAUUACAUGAAUUACUAUAUGCAAUAAAUGUAUUUUCUCGAAAGGAAUAAUAGAUGACUUAGAAAUUAAUUUGAUUUCUUUGAAUUGUUAUUUAAUUAAAUAACUGAGUUCAAAGUGAAAAUUAAAUUAACUAGUCAUCGUAGUUUUACUGAAUAAGACAAAUAAAUUUAUUUAUACAUAUAUUCUAAUAAGGUGAAAUUGCUAUAACUUAGACGAAAUUAGAAUUGGGUUAAGAAAAAUAAUUUAAUUUAAUUUAUUUAUUUAUUUAAAAUAAAUAAAUAUUGUGGGAAUAGAAAACUGGUUAUCAGGUUGGAUAAUUAAAUGUGCUUGUUUUAAUUUAAAUUAAUUGAAAUUCUAGGUUUUCAAUUAAAAUAUUAAUUUUCCCUCUCUUUCUAUUCUAGUAGAACUCUUGUGAUUUUUGUUUAUAUAUAAGGACUAUGGGUAGCUAAAUACAUAUUUUAGCCAUACAUAGAUACUCAGUCGAAAUUUAGGGGAAUUUUAUUUAGCUUCAAUUAAAUUCUAUUGUUUGUGAGUACUGGAGAUACAAAUUUGUGAGAUUAUAAUUGCAACUUCCUUCGCAAUUAUAAUUCAAAUUUUGUGGCUACAACUUUCGAUUUUGGUUUCCCAUAGAGAAGUUUUACUUUCUCCAUUGGAAAGUUACGAUUUUCAUUUUGUGUUAGGUUCUUGAUAAUAGCUCAUUCUCUAGCAUCCAAUGGUUCGAGAAUAGAAAAAAUCAUUCGAUCAAAAGCCAAAAUUCGAUAGGACUCCCUAGCUUGGAAACACGGGUACUAAAUUUGGUAAAAAAUUAUUGUCAUAAAUAACGCAACAAAAGUUUGGUUUUAUGAAAACUUUUAAACUUCCAUUGUGCAAUAAAAAAACUUUUCAUAAAUGAUAUUUUUAACAAAAUAUGAUUAAGGAUCAAAUUACGCAUAGGUACCGGACACUAGAAAGGCUUUGUCGAAAAUAAAUUUUGAAUCUUCCAAUAAUCGAGGGUCAUGGUCUACAAAUAUAACUAUUUCUUAAUUGAAAUAGAUUAUAUUUGUUGCCAACAUAAUUGGAAGUCUAAAGUGUCACACACGAUAAUGGAAUUUGAAAAAUUAAAACGAGGAAAGACUAAAUUGAAUAGUUUAAGAAAAUUCAGGGGUUAAAUUGCAUUUAAUAAAAAGUUAUUAAAAAACUAAUCUAUAUAUUUUAUGUUAGCUUGAUAGAUCAAAUCAAAAUCACCAAUAUAAGGGGGUGAAUUGGCCUUAAGAAAAUUUUUGGAAGCAACGAAUGACUAUGCAACAAUGAACACAACAAUUUAUAGUGGUUCAACCUCAAUUGCCUACUCCACUACCUUCGCUUUCCACAGCUAAGGAUUUUCUCAAAUUCACUAAUUUGAUAACCUUUGAGGACAAGGUUUGACCUUACAAUCUCUCUUAAAAUUUCUACCCAAAAUCUUAAGAUUGCAACUCCUUUAAGGUUUCUACUCAAACUUUAAAACUUAACCCUCUCAAAGAGAAUAACAAAUAGCAAAAUAAGAAGUAAUCUUUACAAGCUUGAUGUGUUUGCCAAUUAAGCACAAAUACAAAGAAUAAGACUUGAGUUGAAUGAAUACGAUGACAUCUCACAAGUGUUUACAAAAAGAAUAUGAAAGUGUCACAUUCCAAAAACCGAGUUAGUAAAAAUUGGGUUAAUGAACCGAGAGUGGUCACGUUCGAAUUUUUUUAAAAUGACCUUAGCACAUUUGAUAAUAAAUAGAUAUCAAUUAUAGUGAUUGAGUAAUGGUGGAGCUGUCCUUGAUGAUCUGAGUUUGAAUCCCUUCCCUCUCGUUAAUUUCUAUUUGGUGCAAAUUUGUUUUAAACCUUUAGUAAAGGUCAUCCCAUGUUUUUAAAUAUUUUCUGUUAAAAUGAUAAUAAGAAAGUGAGUGGUCAAGUGGUUAAGAGCUUAAUUAGUUUCCAAAAGGUUUUAUGUUCAAUCUCCCACACUCCCAAAUAUUUAAUUUUUUUUGACAACUUUAGCUAGUGUGAACACUCCUUGCCAUCCAACCUAGUUAUCAUGCAUAGGGAAUGAUUCUUUCCAAGUGUGUGAGUCAACCUUCCCUCAUUAAGCCCCCUUUCACUCCCAUGAUCCUCUUUUUGCUUCUUUGUCCCCUCAACAUACCAUUAUGUUCACCCUUACCUUGUGUGAUGUUCAUUGAACCUAGACAAGAUGAAGAACACCCUUUUGUUCUAUCUUUUCAUUAUUUUCCUUUUCAUUGCCAUUCCCCUUUUUUGCUCCUCUCUUUUCUCUUCCUCUUCCCUUUUGUAUCACUUUGAACCACCAUUAUUUUGAUUUUUGCCUCCCUUCUUCCACUGUUAACCAUCACCAUUCUACCUAAACACCACCACUUCAUUACCCAUCCUCCUCUUCUUUUCUUUUUUUUUGUUCCACUGCCGCCCUUAGCGCCACCCUCUACCACCGCGACAACCACUGCACACUACUGCACAACUCCUCUCUUUUUUUUAUUUUUCUCUUUUCUCCUUUCUCCUCUUUUAAGUGAGUGAUCAAACCCAUAUUCUUUUCGUCUCCUCCGUCGACCUGUCACCUCCAUCACCGGACCAUCGCGGAUAAUUGUGUUUCCUCCUCUUUUCUUCAUCAUUUUUCAACCUACAUAAUUUCUUUUAGUAAAUAAAAUUAUGCACUAUUAAUUUCACUUAGUUUCUUAAAUUCUAAGUCUUUAUUUCGUAAACUUACUCUUAACCAACCACCUCUUUAGAUUUUUCAAUUUUCCCGGAUCGAAAUCAAGACGAUCCACAGAUCUCUCCUUUUUGACCGAUAUAGAGGCCGAUCGACAUAACAUAGAAAAUCGUCAAACUCGUGAAAGGAAUCAUGAUUCUUAAUUCAUAAGGGUUAUCCAUUGGAAAGAUCUAAGUGUAGGCAUCUUAGAGAGUUGUAACACAUCGGAUCUACAAUCAGGUGUGGGUUCUACAUUAAUUAAAAAAAAUGAAAAUGUGUUUCAUGUUGUUAAAAAUUUAUUAGUAUCACUAAAUGGUGUUUAUCAAGAAUACUCUAUGUAUUCAAAAAGAGGAAUAAAAAUCUAUCAAAUUGGAAUAUCUAAGUAAGUGAAACUAAACCGUUGUUUUUGUGAUUUGUAUGAUCAUAAUUAUUAUUAUUGAUAUAAAAUGUAUGAAAAUAUCAUUCUCAUGUUAAGUGAUAUUAUGAAAAUAUCAUUCUCAUGUUAAGUGAUAUUAUGGCAUAUGUGAGUUUCGCAUAAUUUAUAAAAUGUGAAAUAUUAAUAUAUAUGUAUAUAUAUUGUGUAAAUAUGUGAUUAGCAUGUGAAGCAUGCCUAUGUAAUUUUAAGUGAUGAGCGAUAUAAUGAGCAUGCCUUACAUGCCAAAGUGAAAAAAUUGAUUUUUAAAGUGAAAAAGUGAUUUUUGUGGUCAUAUCACAUGCAUAGGGUGAGAUAUGUGAAAUGAAGAAAAAGUGGAAGUUUAUUUGCAAAAGUGGUGACUUGUCCACAAUAUUGUAAAGUGGCAGUUUAUCUGCAAAAGUGGUGACUUGUCCACAAUUUUAUUAAGUGGCAGUUCAUCUACAAAAGUGGUGGUUUGUCCAUAAUAUUAUUAAAUGGCAGUUUAUCUGCAUUACUGUGACACUGUUCACAAAUUGGAGUGUUUGGAUGGACAAGUUUUGGGGAACUCGAUUGUGUUGUGUAGCGGUGAUAGGUAAGAUGUUUUAAAUAAAAUUGCAUAAAUGUUUUAUAAAACAACAUCGCUAUAACCAUGUGCAUAAAGUGAAAUAUUUACUUGAUUGAUGAUUAUGUGUUCAUUUACAUUUAUUUGUUAAAAGACCCACACUGGGUUUUAAAAGCUCACCCCCUUUAGUGUUAUAACCUUUUAGGAAAUACUCGGACAUAGGGCUUGGAUUCAAUAUUCGGUGGAGCCUCUCGGAUGGUUUAUUUUAUGGAUUUUUAAUAAUGGUUUUUUAAACUAUGUGGUUUUUGUUUGUUGACUUUGGACUUUGGACUUUGGACACUUCUUUUAUUUUGGGUUGUUGGUUAUUUUAUAACUUAGAAUUGCUAUGCAUGCAUGAAAAUUUUAUGCGACUUUAAGUAUUUUAAAAUAUGGAGUUUAUUUAAACUAUUUACAAUUUUACGUGGUUAAAACAAAUUUAUAUUUCUAAGUAGUUUAAUGAAAGUCCGUUGCAAAACAUUUUUACCCAAAACCUUUUUAAUAAAUGAUUAUAAUACAAAACCUUUAUUUUCAAAUAACUUAAAAUGGCAUUAUAAUAUAAUGUCGUACUUUACUUUCAAAAUAUUAUAUUUUUAAUAAGUAUUUUUUUUCAAAAAAACAAAAUCAUUAAAUAUUCAAAAUUUUAAGUUUUCACAAAACAACUCAACCCUAGUCAAUUUCAAAAAGUAAAUAAUUUCAAGCGUUGUUAAUGUAACUUCUGAGAUUCGGUCAUAACGUCUAGGCCAGGUUUGGGGUGUUAUAGAAAGAAUUAAGCACUAAAGUUGUUUUGAUUGAUCUUUAAAAUUGAUGAUCUCUCUACUUCUUGUAGGACCUUUGAAAAAUGGUAUUUAUACCCUCUAAUACAUUUCCAACCGUUGGAGUUGUUGUGAAAGUUAAUAGAGCCGUUGGGGAUGAAAAUACCAUAUCAUUAAAUUCACCUGCAGCAAAAGGUAUCGAUACUUUUUUUGUGAGUAUUGAUACUAUUAGCAUUUAAUGCCUGAUUCAGUGACCGUUGAAAUUAGUUUACAACGAUACCAACAAUAAAUUAUCGAUACAUGGUAAAAGGUAUUGAUAAUUUUUGUAAAGGUAUCGAUACUUUUUGUGUAAAUUGAAAAUAGAAUGUCAAAUUAGUAUUGAUUUUAGAAUGGGUAGCGAUAUCUUGAAAAUUAUUGAUACUUGGUCAAAAAGCAUCGAUACUUUUUGGCUUGGAGCAAUACUGACUUGUUUAAAAACAAUUUUAACAUGAUUGAAAAUUUUUAGCUCAAUUGAAAUCAUUUUAACUUGAUUUUAUCAAUUUUUCCAAUUUUGUUCAACUUUAACUUUUAUUCAGAAACACUUUAAUUUGUUAUAUCAAAAGAUAUUAUUAAAUAAAGCUUGGUUUAACAUUUUAACUUAGCCACACAUCACAAGUCUGUUGUUGUUGUUGUUGUUGUUGUUGUUUUGUCUAUCUCUUCUUCUCAUGUACAAACAAAAAGAAAAUUGAACAAAAAUUAUUUUAUGAAUUUUUUCUUCUAGUUUUCUUUUCAAUAUUGAGACUGAAACUAAAAGAGGAUGUGGAUCUGCAUGAUCAGAUAGCUAGCGCUAUCUUGGCAAAGUGGAUCUCAACCUUACAAAGGUUUUCUAAAUUUCUAGUGUGGGUUACCAUUAAAGGUCGGACAUGUGGACAUCAGUUGGUUUUCGACAAUUGAGCUCAAUAUUCUUCUGAAAAUAGAGAAAUAAGUAAAUGAGGAUGGUGACCACCCUUGUUUCAGGUGUUAUUCUUCUAUUGUAUUUUGUGUUUCAUAAUGUGAUAAAAUCGUUCAAAUUUAUCCUUGAUAGAAUAUGAUUUGUUGUAUGUUUCAUGUUUCCACUGCAUUUAAUUUGAUUCUUGUUUCAAUUUUAUUUGUUGGCUAUAAUUAGGUUUCAUGAUUUUAUCUCAUUGAAUUUUUCCUAAUAAGAUUUUAAUGAGACACAUUUUCGUUGAUGAACAUCCAAGAGAGCUGUUGUAAACCCAUUGUUAAAUGGACGUCCAUAUAACUCUCAAAACCCUCUAAGAACUUAUUCUCUUGUAACCCCUAAAGAUUUGAUAAGGUUUAUUAAGUUUCUUAUUUAUGUAUUUGUAACAUAUGGUCAUUGAGACCCUAUAAAUAGAGGGUAUAUAUAAGCUUAUUGCAUUCUAAGUAAAAGAUGAAUUAUACUUUCACUUUUUGUCUAAUCUUCUCUCUUAUUCGUACUAUAAUUCCUCUAAUUUCAUAAUAAUAUAUAAAUUUGAAGCAACACCUUAUAUUUUGCUUUAAAGUGUGUUUGCUGCAGAUAAUCUUAUAUUCCUAGAGCUAAUGUAAGAUCUUGGAAUAACAUUUUCCGUUUGGAUUCGAAGAUUAUCUUAAGCCAAUAAUCCUAAAUCCCUAACUUUUAGAAUAUGAUAAUCUCAAUAACACAUUUUCCUCAAGUAAUCUUAUAUUACCUUGAUAAUGUGAAAUUUUUUACUAUUUUACCUUUUUUAUUGACUUUUAUCAAAUUUACUUUAACAAAAACAAAAUAAUAAUGAAAGUAACAUUUAUAUUGAAAUCAUUAAUGAAUUUCUUAAAAAUCAAAUGAAUUAAAAAAGUAAUGUAGCUACCAUCCAAUUAAAAAAAGAACACAUCAGUGGAGUUCUCUAUAACUGAAAUUUUUUUUCGGCGAUGAGUGAUUCUGAAAAUUUGUCUGGUGAUCGGGUUGGGGCCGAAAAUGAUACCAAUGGGGAUCGUAAUACCAAAAAAGUCAGGUUUAAGGAUGUGGGAAAGGAUUCCACAGAAAACAUACUGGUAGAUAUACAUCUAGUGAAUGGUGUUUCAUGGAACGAUAAGCUUUUGGGAGGGAGAGGUUCGAGACCCUCAGAUGGUGCUACUGAUAUGGAUCUUGAAAUCGAAGAUGGCGACAUUCUUCGAUCCAUAUUUAAUGGUAUCCCCACUAUUGAUUUUUCGGAGCGGUUAAAAAAAAUCUUGGUAAAAGGCAUGGAAUCGACUGUUGUCGUCAAGUUGCUAGGACGCAAUAUUGGGUAUGGGGUCUUGCAUAAUCGGAUCUCCAACCUUUGGAGACCUUCUCAACCCUUUCGUCUGAUGGACAUGGAAAACGGGUACUAUCUUAUCUGAGUCCAAAAUAGAGUAGAUUAUGAUAUGGCUCUAACUCAAGGUACUUGGAUAGUGUUCGGGCACAAUCUCACAGUCCAGCCAUGGACGGUAGAUUUUGACGCUCUAAGACCUUUUCCAAGCACGAUUUUGGCUUGGAUCCGCUUUUCGGGACUGCCGGGAUUUUUGUACAAAAAAAAGUGUUAAAGGAGAUCGGAAACUUGGUGGGAACAGUGGCAAAAGUAGACAUAAAAACAAAUAGUGGAGUAAGAGGGCAAUUCUCCAGAAUGGCAGUGUUUGUAGAUCUGGAAAAAUCGCUUACCUCGUAAGUGUUGAUCAAUGGCAGAAUUCAAUGAGUGGAGUUUGAAGCUCUACCCAUGGUAUGUUUUUUCCUGCGAUAAAUAUGACCAUUUUAAUAUGUUUGUUCUUCCUUUUUGACAGAUCAAAGUACUCGCGGUAGAAAAGAGGACUUGGUCGAAGUGAUGUACAAUGAAUCAACUCAAGCAAGGAUGGGAGGUCCUUGGAUGGUAGUUGAGCGCAAAUAUAGGUAAAAUCAAUCUGGAAAAUAGAAUCAACAUGCAAGAUAUUCGGAGGAAAAUUCAAUUGGAACCAGACUUACGGCGUUAUCCUCUCUAGAAGAUCAACCGGUGGGAUUGUUGGCUGAUAUUUCGGACUUGGAAGGAACGAAGUUUAAGUAGGGAUAGUUUACUAAGAAGGGUAAAUUACACCAACAAUCACUCAACUUUGGGGUAGCUAACAAAACAGUCACCUAGUUUCAUUUCAAUCAGUCAACUUUAGAAAAAUAACAAAACAGUUACUAACGUUAUUUAAAAGUGACAAAUCAGUCACUCAUUAACAUUUUCUGUCAUAGGCUUAACGAGAUAGAUGACGUGGCCAAUUAACUAGAUGAUGUGGUCAGAUAAUUUAC
rnacentral:lncRNA from 1 species